AUUGAACGCUGGCGGCAGGCUUAACACAUGCAAGUCGAGCGGGGUGAUGGUGCUGGCACUAUCACUUAGCGGCGGACGGGUGAGUAAUGCUUAGGAAUCUGCCUAUUAGUGGGGGACAACAUCUCGAAAGGGAUGCUAAUACCGCAUACGUCCUACGGGAGAAAGCAGGGGAUCACUUGUGACCUUGCGCUAAUAGAUGAGCCUAAGUCGGAUUAGCUAGUUGGUGGGGUAAAGGCCUACCAAGGCGACGAUCUGUAGCGGGUCUGAGAGGAUGAUCCGCCACACUGGGACUGGAACACGGCCCAGACGCCUACGGGAGGCAGCAGUGGGGAAUAUUGGACAAUGGGGGGAACCCUGAUCCAGCCAUGCCGCGUGUGUGAAGAAGGCCUUAUGGUUGUAAAGCACUUUAAGCGAGGAGGAGGCUCUUUUGGUUAAUACCCAGAAUGAGUGGACGUUACUCGCAGAAUAAGUACCGGCUAACUCUGUGCCAGCCGCCGCCGUAA
rnacentral:rRNA from 1 species